rnacentral:rRNA from 1 species
CUCUUGCAAUAUAAAGUAUAAGAGGUCCCGCCUGCCCAGUGACAAUUUCAACGGCCGCGGUAUCAUGACCGUGCAAAGGUAGCGUAAUCACUUGUCUUUUAAAUAAAGACCUGUAUGAAAGGCAAAACGAAAGUUCAACUGUCUCUUUAAUCCAAUCAAUGAAAUUUAUCUUUCCGUGCAGAAGCGGAAAUAAAGAUAU